GAUGAAGAACGCAGCGAAAUGCGAUACGUAAUGUGAAUUGCAGAAUUCAGUGAAUCAUCGAAUCUUUGAACGCAUAUUGCGCUCUCUGGUAUUCCGGAGAGCAUGCUUGUUUGAGUAUCAGUAAACACCUCAACUUCCAUAUCUUUUUUGAAAUGGGAGUUGGACUUAAGUGAUCCCAACGCUUUUCCUCACCGAAAAGUGGCGGGUUACUUGAAAUGCAGGUGCAGCUGGACUUUUCUCUGAGCUAUAAGCAUAUCUAUUUAGUCUGCCUAAAAAACAGAUUAUUACCUUUGCUGCAGCUAACAUAAAGGAGAUUAGUUCUUGUGCUGACUGAUGCAGGAUUCACAAAGACAGGCUUCGGCCGACUUUGUAAACUCGAUCUCAAAUCAAGUAAGACUACCCGCUGAACUUAAGCAUAUCAAUAAGCGGAGGA
rnacentral:misc_RNA from 1 species